rnacentral:snoRNA from 1 species
UUGCUGUAGCUGUUGGUUUCAAACAGGAGCCAAGAGUGAUGUGUUUCUGUGGUCUGUUAGCCAUUCAGCAGCCCGGUGGGAAUGGCUUGUUCAAUUGGAAGAA